GAUGAACGCUGGCGGCGUGCCUAACACAUGCAAGUCGAACGAAGCACCUAACUUUGAUUCCUUCGGGUUGAAGAGUUUUGUGACUGAGUGGCGGACGGGUGAGUAACGCGUGGGUAACCUGCCUCAUACAGGGGGAUAACAGUUAGAAAUGACUGCUAAUACCGCAUAAGCGCACAGCAUCGCAUGGUGCAGUGUGAAAAACUCCGGUGGUAUGAGAUGGACCCGCGUCUGAUUAGCUAGUUGGCGAGGUAACGGCUCACCAAGGCGACGAUCAGUAGCCGGCCUGAGAGGGUGAACGGCCACAUUGGGACUGAGACACGGCCCAAACUCCUACGGGAGCAGCAGUGGGAAUAUUGCACAAUGGGGGAAACCCUAAUGCGAGCGACGCCGCGUGAGCGAAGAAGUAUUUCGGUAUGUAAAGCUCUAUCAGCAGGAGAAAUGACGGUACCUGACU
rnacentral:rRNA from 1 species